rnacentral:rRNA from 1 species
AUUGAACGCUGGCGGCAUGCCUUACACAUGCAAGUCGAACGGCAGCACGGGUGCUUGCACCUGGUGGCGAGCGGCGAACGGGUGAGUAAUACAUCGGAACGUACCUUAUCGUGGGGGAUAACGCAGCGAAAGCUGUGCUAAUACCGCAUACGCCCUGAGGGGGAAAGCGGGGGAUCGCAAGACCUCGCGCGAUUAGAGCGGCCGAUGCCUGAUUAGCUUGUUGGUGGGGUAAAAGCCCACCAAGGCGACGAUCAGUAGCUGGUCUGAGAGGACGAUCAGCCACACUGGGACUGAGACACGGCCCAGACUCCUACGGGAGGCAGCAGUGGGGAAUUUUGAACAAUGGGGGCAACCCUGAUCCAGCAAUGCCGCGUGAGUGAAGAAGGCCUUCGGGUUGUAAAGCUCCUUUGUCAGGGAAGAAACACCGGCUCUAACACAGUCCGGGAAUGACGGUACCUGAAGAAUAAGCACCGGCUAACUACGUGCCAGCCGCCGCGGUAA